rnacentral:rRNA from 1 species
GAUGAACGCUGGCGGCGUGCUUAACACAUGCAAGUCGAACGAUGAAGCCCAGCUUGCUGGGUGGAUUAGUGGCGAACGGGUGAGUAACACGUGAGUAACCUGCCCUUAACUCUGGGAUAAGCCUGGGAAACUGGGUCUAAUACCGGAUAGGAGCGUCCACCGCAUGGUGGGUGUUGGAAAGAUUUAUCGGUUUUGGAUGGACUCGCGGCCUAUCAGCUUGUUGGUGAGGUAAUGGCUCACCAAGGCGACGACGGGUAGCCGGCCUGAGAGGGUGACCGGCCACACUGGGACUGAGACAAGGCCCAGCCUCCUCCGGGAGGCAGCAGUGGGGAAUAUUGCACAAUGGGAGCAAGGCUGAUGCAGCGACGCCGCGUGAGGGAUGACGGCCUUCGGGUUGUAAACCUCUUUCAGUAGGGAAGAAGCGAAAGUGACGGUACCUGCAGAAGAAGCACCGGCUAACUACGUG